AUGGCUACUCGCAUCAAUACUCUCAAUUAUACCUAUGCAAUUCUAUGCAUUCUUGUAGUUUUGGCAUCAGGACAAGAAGCAAAUGUUCCUCCAAUAUGUGAAGAAUAUUGUUGUUGGAAUGUAGGGCCAGAAGAAUGUAAUAUUCGAGGGUGUUUAAAUGCAUGCUCAACAUUUCCAGGUCAUCUACAUGGCGUGUGUAAACAAAAAUAUUAUUGUUGCUGCCAUAAAUAG